GCCAAUGCGUUUGUGGCGUGCUAUGCUGCAGUCGACGCGUUGGCCCAAUUGAUUGAUGGUGCUUGCACCUGAUUGAUUUUGGUCGCCAACGAGUGGCGGACGGGUGAGUAACACGUAGGUAACCUGCCCAGAAGCGGGGGACAACAUUUGGAAACAGAUGCUAAUACCGCAUAACAACGUUGUUCGCAUGAACAACGCUUAAAAGAUGGCUUCUCGCUAUCACUUCUGGAUGGACCUGCGGUGCAUUAGCUUGUUGGUGGGGUAACGGCCUACCAAGGCGAUGAUGCAUAGCCGAGUUGAGAGACUGAUCGGCCACAAUGGGACUGAGACACGGCCCAUACUCCUACGGGAGGCAGCAGUAGGGAAUCUUCCACAAUGGGCGCAAGCCUGAUGGAGCAACACCGCGUGAGUGAAGAAGGGUUUCGGCUCGUAAAGCUCUGUUGUUAAAGAAGAACACGUAUGAGAUUAACUGUUCAUACGUUGACGGUAUUUAACCAGAAAGUCACGGCUAACUACGUGCCAGCAGCCGCGGUAAUACGUAGGUGGCAAGCGUUAUCCGGAUUUAUUGGGCGUAAAGAGAGUGCAGGCGGUUUUCUAAGUCUGAUGUGAAAGCCUUCGGCUUAACCGGAGAAGUGCAUCGGAAACUGGAUAACUUGAGUGCAGAAGAGGGUAGUGGAACUCCAUGUGUAGCGGUGGAAUGCGUAGAUAUAUGGAAGAACACCAGUGGCGAAGGCGGCUACCUGGUCUGCAACUGACGCUGAGACUCGAAAGCAUGGGUAGCGAACAGGAUUAGAUACCCUGGUAGUCCAUGCCGUAAACGAUGAGUGCUAGGUGUUGGAGGGUUUCCGCCCUUCAGUGCCGGAGCUAACGCAUUAAGCACUCCGCCUGGGAGUACGACCGCAAGGUUGAAACUCAAAGGAAUUGACGGGGGC
rnacentral:rRNA from 1 species